rnacentral:rRNA from 1 species
UUGCUCUGGUGGAUUAGUGGCGAACGGGUGAGUAACACGUGAGUAACCUGCCCUUGACUCUGGGAUAAGCGUUGGAAACGACGUCUAAUACCGGAUACGAGCUGAGAUCGCAUGAUCAUCAGCUGGAAAGAAUUUCGGUCAAGGAUGGACUCGCGGCCUAUCAGUUAGUUGGUGAGGUAACGGCUCACCAAGACGACGACGGGUAGCCGGCCUGAGAGGGUGACCGGCCACACUGGGACUGAGACACGGCCCAGACUCCUACGGGAGGCAGCAGUGGGGAAUAUUGCACAAUGGGCGCAAGCCUGAUGCAGCAACGCCGCGUGAGGGACGACGGCCUUCGGGUUGUAAACCUCUUUUAGCAGGGAAGAAGCGAAAGUGACGGUACCUGCAGAAAAAGCACCGGCUAACUACGUGCCAGCAGCCGCGGUAAUACGUAGGGUGCAAGCGUUGUCCGGAAUUAUUGGGCGUAAAGAGCUCGUAGGCGGUUUGUCGCGUCUGCUGUGAAAACGCGAGGCUCAACCUCGCGCCUGCAGUGGGUACGGGCAAACUAGAGUGCGGUAGGGGAGAUUGGAAUUCCUGGUGUAGCGGUGGAAUGCGCAGAUAUCAGGAGGAACACCAAUGGCGAAGGCAGAUCUCUGGGCCGUAACUGACGCUGAGGAGCGAAAGCAUGGGGAGCGAACAGGAUUAGAUACCCUGGUAGUCCAUGCCGUAAACGUUGGGAACUAGAUGUAGGGACCAUUCCACGGUUUCUGUGUCGCAGCUAACGCAUUAAGUUCCCGCCUGGGGAGUACGGUCGCAAGACUAAAACUCA